UUUGUCUCUGUGAGGUUAGGAAAUCAAUCAAAGAGACUGCCUUAAUUCUCUCUAAUGAUGAUGUUGAUGGUGGCAGGGCUUGGCAAGGCGAGGUGUAGGCUCGAUGCAUGGAGGUGGGACUGUGGGGAUGGUGUUGUAACAGCGGGGAAUUCAAUG